rnacentral:rRNA from 1 species
ACAUGAAGCUGGAGUUACUAGUAAUCGCAGAUCAGAAUGCUGCGGUGAAUGCGUUCCCGGGUCUUGUACACACCGCCCGUCACACCACGGGAGUUGGAGACGCCCGAAGCCGAUUAUCUAACCUGUUGGAAGAAGUCGUCGAAGGUGGAAUCAAUAACUGGGGUGAAGUCGUAACAAGGUAGCCGUAUCGGAAGGUGCGGCUGGAUCACCUCCUUUCUAAGGAGA